AAUCAACUGAUGAGAAUAUAACUGCAACAAUAUGAUGGAUUCUUUCCAUGAUUCUUAGUACUUAAGUCUCUGAUGAUU